rnacentral:rRNA from 1 species
UAGGGAAUCUUCCGCAAUGGACGCAAGUCUGACGGAGCAACGCCGCGUGAGUGAAGAAGGAUUUCGGUUCGUAAAACUCUGUUGUUAGAGAAGAACAGCGCAUAGAGUAACUGUUAUGCGUGUGACGGUAUCUAACCAGAAAGCCACGGCUAACUACGUGCCAGCAGCCGCGGUAAUACGUAGGUGGCAAGCGUUGUCCGGAUUUAUUGGGCGUAAAGCGAGCGCAGGCGGUCAAUUAAGUCUGAUGUGAAAGCCCCCGGCUCAACCGGGGAGGGUCAUUGGAAACUGGUUGACUUGAGUGCAGAAGAGGGGAGUGGAAUUCCAUGUGUAGCGGUGAAAUGCGUAGAUAUAUGGAGGAACACCAGUGGCGAAGGCGACUCUCUGGUCUGUAACUGACGCUGAGGCUCGAAAGCGUGGGUAGCAAACAGG